rnacentral:rRNA from 1 species
UACGUAGGGUGCAAGCGUUGUCCGGAUUUAUUGGGCGUAAAGAGCGUGUAGGCGGCCCGGUAAGUCAGCUGUGAAAGUCAAGGGCUCAACCCUUGAAAGCCGGUUGAUACUGUCGGGCUAGAGUCCGGAAGAGGCGAGUGGAAUUCCUGGUGUAGCGGUGAAAUGCGCAGAUAUCAGGAAGAACACCAAUGGCGAAAGCAGCUCUCUGGGACGGUACUGACGCUGAGACGCGAAAGCGUGGGGAGCGAACAGG